GACGAACGCUGGCGGCGUGCUUAACACAUGCAAGUCGAACGGAAAGGCCCUGCUUUUGUGGCGUGCUCGAGUGGCGAACGGGUGAGUAACACGCGAGUAACCUGCCCUUGACUUUGUGAUAACUCCAGGAAACUGGGGCUAAUACCGGAUAGGAGCUCCUGCUGCACGGUGGGGGUUGGAAAGUUUCGGCGGUUGGGGAUAGACUCGCGGCUUAUCAGCUUGAUGGUGGAGUAGUGGAGUACCAAGGCUUAGACGGGUAGCCGGCCUGAGAGGGGAACCGGCGUCAUUGGUACUGCGAUACGGCGCAGACGCCUACGGGAGGCAGUAGUCGGGAAUAUUGCGCAGUGGGCGGAAGCCUGAUGCGGCAACGCCGCGUGCGGGAUGACCGCCUUCGGGUUGUGAACCGCUGUCGCCUGUGACGAAGCGUGAGUGACGGUAAUGGGUAAAGAAGCACCGGCUAACUACGUG
rnacentral:rRNA from 1 species